rnacentral:rRNA from 1 species
GAUGAACGCUGGCGGCGUGCCUAAUACAUGCAAGUCGAGCGAACAGACGAGGAGCUUGCUCCUCUGACGUUAGCGGCGGACGGGUGAGUAACACGUGGAUAACCUACCUAUAAGACUGAGAUAACUUCGGGAAACCGGAGCUAAUACCGGAUAAUAUAUUGAACCGCAUGGUUCAAUAGUGAAAGACGGUUUUGCUGUCACUUAUAGAUGGAUCCGCGCCGCAUUAGCUAGUUGGUAAGGUAACGGCUUACCAAGGCAACGAUGCGUAGCCGACCUGAGAGGGUGAUCGGCCACACUGGAACUGAGACACGGUCCAGACUCCUACGGGAGGCAGCAGUAGGGAAUCUUCCGCAAAGGGCGAAAGCCUGACGGAGCAACGCCGCGUGAGUGAUGAAGGUCUUCGGAUCGUAAAACUCUGUUAUUAGGGAAGAACAAAUGUGUAAGUAACUAUGCACGUCUUGACGGUACCUAAUCAGAAAGCCACGGCUAACUACGUG